CUUGACCGACCCUAAGUUUGAUGAAAACAAACUCGCUUUUCUAGUCUAAAGGCUAGUUAUUUAGAUUCAGGGCUAUACGGUGACUGAAAUGUCACAUGGCUAGGAGGGUGUGGAACCUCAAAGAUAGACUUAUCAGUCAUCUAUACAGCGAUAGACUUAUCAGUCAUCUAAAGAGAGAUACACUUAUCAGUCUUCUACUCAGAAAUAGACUUAUCAAUCAUCUAAAUAGAGAUAGAUUUAUCAGUCAUUUAUAUGGAGAUAGACUUAUCAGUCAUCUAUACAGAGAUAGACUUAUCAGUCAUCUAUAUAGAGAUGGACUUAUCAGUCAUCUACAUGGAGAUAGACUUAUCAUUCAUCUACACAGGGAUAGGCUUAUUAGUCAUCUAUACAGAGUAUGACUUAUUAGUCGUCUACUCAGAGAGAGACUUAUUAGUCGUCUACCUUAGAGAGACUUAUUAGUCAUCUACCUCAGAGGAAGAAACUUAUUAAUCAUCUACUCAGAGCACAGGACUCAUCAAACAUUUAUUUGUACCUGCUUGCAUGCAUAGGAUUAUUACUUGUAGUGCACCAAAUUUUUUUUUUUAGAUUAUUUAAAUUUUUGUGAUUUAUUUUAUUUAAAUGUUAAGUGUGAUGAAUUGUUUUAUUUAAGUGUUGUUAUUUUAUUUAGUUCAUUGUUUGUUUUAUUUGAUUGUUUAUUAUUUUAUUUAAUUGUUAGAAUUGUUUGGUAUAAUCUUUUGAAUUUAAAUUUGUUAAUUGUUUGUUUGGUUAAUUAAUUUAAUAAGUGAAUAGUGUGUAACAUAUGUUAUUUUACUAUUAGUGUUACAUUUUAAAUAAAUGUGACAAUUGAGGUAAUUAUGUGAGUUAUGAUUGAAUGCACUAAGGUGCAUGGUAGAUAGUGAUGCACUCUAGUGUUUUAGUGUGUGCUAGUACAUGGUAAUAAGGUGCACAUGUGUGGAUUUUCUACACAUUUUAUAAAUGCCAUUUAUUAUAUUUUUGGGUAGUUUAUUUUAAUAAGUGGGGAAUUAAAGAAAAAUAAAAUAAAAAUAAAGGAAAUGGCAUGUAGUGUGGACGUGUAUGUGUAGUGGGAAAAGAAUGGUUUAUUCCAUUUAUUUUCUUGAUUCAAUUAAAUUAAAAUUAGAAGACCAUGGUUAUUUUAGGUAAGGAUGUGAUCAUCUUUUUAUUCCUUGCCAUUUAAAGAUAAAAACAAUUAUACAAAAAUUAAGAGAAAAUAUGGAGAGAAUAGGAAACUUACCUUUUCUUUUUAUUAAGCCAUUGUGAGAGAAUAAGGAUAAAGGGGAAAGGAAAGAGGGGAAGAGCCAUUUGCUCUUGUGGCUGCCGAAAUUAGAGAGAGAGAGAGAGAGUGUGGCGUGUAGAGAGAGAGGGAGAAGAAGAAAGAAAGAAAGAAAGAAGAAGGUGAAGAGGAACCCAUCUUAGAGCUUGAACAAGGGUGUGAAGUUUGGGUGUUGAUCUUAUUGUGUUCUUGAUUUUACAAUCAAGAGAGGUAGCAAAUAGGAUUUCUUUAUGGCACGCGUGGUGACGUGAGGAGUUCUUUCAUCAUGGGGUGUAUGGCGUGGGGUAAUCCUAUGGACGGAAAAACGAUCAACGUAGAACGCCAUUUAAAUUAUGUUUUGUUUUUAAGAGACUUUCCUAAAUUAUCAGGGGGACUCAGUUAUUUAAUUUUUGGUUUCUUUGAACUUUGCAUGAAAAUCUAUGUUUUAUUUUAAAACUUAUGGCGCCAACUUGCAUGGUUUUAAACAAGUCCCCCUGAGACCUUGAUAAUGAAUGGUAUUCUUUUAUAAACUAUAUUAUGCGAA